GGAUCCCCUAGAGGAACAGACAGACCUGAAUUUCCUGUAUCAGCAGACACACAAUCAGUACUAGUGGAAAGAUGAGCAGCAGAUUUCCUUCCCUUGGCGUAAGAAAUGCUUUGAGGAAAACCAUGCAGCUUGAAACAAUUAUCAAUUAAGUGUCCAGACUUCUUGCAAUAUCUGCAAAACAAGUUUCCUCUAUUUUGUUCA
rnacentral:lncRNA from 1 species